rnacentral:rRNA from 1 species
UACGAAGGGGGCUAGCGUUGCUCGGAAUCACUGGGCGUAAAGCGCACGUAGGCGGCUUUCUAAGUCGGUGGUGAAAUCCUGGAGCUCAACUCCAGAACUGCCUCCGAUACUGGAAGGCUCGAGUCCGGGAGAGGUGAGUGGAACUGCGAGUGUAGAGGUGAAAUUCGUAGAUAUUCGCAAGAACACCAGUGGCGAAGGCGGCUCACUGGCCCGGUACUGACGCUGAGGUGGCGAAAGCGUGGGGAGCAAACAGG